rnacentral:pre_miRNA from 1 species
UAACCCUUUUGGUACUAAUGUUGGAGUGGUCCCUGGUCAAAAAAAGGUUGGGAACUCUUUCCUCCGCGACUAUGACUUCCCACUAUCUAGACCAGGGACCACUCUCCAACAUUAGUACCAAAAGGGUUACAA